CAAGUAGGUGGUCUCAUUUGUCUGGGGUGAAAGCCUUGAGCUUAACUCAAGAAGUGCCCCAGAAACGGUGAGACUAGAGUCCUGGAGAGGGUCGUGGAAUUCCCGGUGUAGCGGUGAAAUGCGUAGAGAUCGGGAGGAACACCAGAGGCGAAGGCGGCGACCUGGACAGGCACUGACACUCAACUGCGAAAGCGUGGGGAGCAAACAGGAUUAGAUACCCUGGUAGUCCACGCUGUAAACGAUGGGUACUAAACUUAGUGGGUCUUGACCCCUACUGAGUUGGCGCUAACGCAAUAAGUACCCCGCCUGGGAAGUACGGUCGCAAGACUAAA
rnacentral:rRNA from 1 species